UGCUUUUGCAUUCAGCAUUUGUAAUUCUUUUUUUUAAUUGAAUGAUUUGUCAUCUUGAUACUCAAAAUCACUGCCGUUAAAUAUCUCUGUGUCAGGGAGACAUUUCCCAGGAAUAAUUCCUUCAACCUCCAUUGAUGGUGGACCUAUGGGGAUUAGUCAUAGUUCUGUUGGAUCGCCUGUGAACUCCUUCAUUGAACGUCAUAGGAGUCUCAGCAUUCCUAUUGGAUUUCCACCUUUGGCAAACGUCAUCUCAGCCAGCAAGCCCGGAAUUCAGGAGCAUGUCCACCCUCUCGACAAUUCAAAUAUGGGGAUCCAAAGCAUGCCAAACCUUCAUCCUCAUUCUUUUUCAGAGUACCUCGACAACUUUACAAAUGGUAGUCCAUAUAAGUCCUCGACAGCAUUUUCUGAAGUCGUUAGUGAUGGCUCGAAAGCAAAUGAUGCCUUUAUGUUACAUAAUGUUCGUGGAGUGGAUGGCUUUAACGGAGGGGGUAAGCUCUUUAUCUCUAAAUUGCUACUGUUUUGAUAAAUUUGUCGAAGAAUAAUGAUGAUAUGUAGUUGACAAUUGUGAGUUUAAGAAGAAUGUCUGCCGUAGCACACUAUUAGGAUGGUCCUUACAAUUUUAGUGGAAUCUGAAAUGUGCUACAGCGAUGAAAAUUCUAGGUACUGUUUCUGUAGACAACUUUUUUUAAAAGCAUUCUUGGUGUAAAACUUGUCAUCCUGGGAAAAUAUUAUUAGUAUUAUGUUCUUAAUUGCAGUCAUAUAGACAGAUAACUGUGCUGGGUUUGAAAUUGAAUUUGAAAGUGGCUGAAACAUUCGUUGUGUAUGUCAACAGAAUUGCACAAUUACUGAGUGCUAUUAAAAUUUUAAUUUUGGAAGAUUGUGGGAAGUAUUUCUUCUACUGUCAUACAUAAUAUUGUUUUUUUUUCUCACUUUUAGUUGUUGUGGUCUUUUGACUGUAGGCAUAGGGUAAUCGUGGUUUUAUCAUGGUAUCCUACUAUGAUAUAAGGGCUGCUCAAAAUGCGGCGAGAGCGCUCCACAAUAAGCUGUUAAGAGGAACGAAACUUGAUAUUCGUUAUUCUAUCCCCAAGGUAUGAUUCCCUGUUCUUAUGAAAGAUAUUGUCUUUGCUAUGUGGACAGUACUUGUGACUUAUGUUGAUUUGUAUCUAUCUUAUAAUUUUCUUGGUACCAGGAAAUUCCUUCAGGAAAAGACGCCAGUAAAGGAGCCCUGUUGAUUACUAAUAUUGAUUCGUCUAUUUCAAAUGAAGAACUCAAUCGAAUGGUCAAAUCGUAUGGAGAAAUCAAAGAGGUUGAUAUAUUGAGAUUCUCCGUUUAGCUACUCUUCUGAGGUAGAUUCUAAUGAUGUUUCUGUGGUUUGCAGAUUCGUAGAACCAUGCACGAUAACCCACAGAUAUACUUAGAAUUCUUUGACAUCCGAGUGGCAGAGGCUGCUCUUGGUGGCCUGAAUGGACUCGAGGUUGCUGGGAAGCAGCUUAGCAUUACUAGUCAGCGCCCACCUGUUACCGUAUUCUCUAGAGCACCUCCUGUUAUGGUGAAUAUGGCAUCUUCCCCUGUGCACCACCACAUUGGAUCUGCGCCGGUAUUAAACUCGCCUUUCUGGGAUAGAAGACAAGCCUAUAUUUACGAGGAUGCCAGUUGUGUAGAUGUAUGGGGUUCACCCAUUCUUUUUUCUUUAUUUCAGGUACAUGUCACAGUUUGUUGCACAUGAUGCUGAAGGGUUUCUACCUAAAAUGUCUUUUACUAAUACAUCAUCUGGGCACAUGGGUAUGCUUUUGCAUUCAGCAUUUGUAAUUCUUUUUUUUAUUGAAUGAUUUGUCAUCUUGAUACUCAAACCACUGCCGUUAAAUAUCCCUGUGUCAGGGAGACAUUUCCCAGGAAUAAUUCCUUCAACCUCCAUUGAUGGUGGACCUAUGGGGAUUAGUCAUAGUUCUGUUGGAUCACCUGUGAACUCCUUCAUUGAACGUCAUAGGAGUCUCAGCAUUCCUAUUGGAUUUCCACCUUUGGCAAACGUCAUCUCAGCCAGCAAGCCCGGAAUUCAGGAGCAUGUCCACCCUCUCGACAAUUCAAAUAUGGGGAUCCAAAGCAUGCCAAACCUUCAUCCU
rnacentral:lncRNA from 1 species